UGGGGAAUUUUGGACAAUGGGGGCAACCCUGAUCCAGCCAUCCCGCGUGUGCGAUGAAGGCCUUCGGGUUGUAAAGCACUUUUGGCAGGGAAGAAACAGCCUGGGAUAAUACCCCGGGCGACUGACGGUACCUGCAGAAUAAGCACCGGCUAACUACGUGCCAGCAGCCGCGGUAAUACGUAGGGUGCAAGCGUUAAUCGGAAUUACUGGGCGUAAAGCGUGCGCAGGCGGUUCGGAAAGAAAGGUGUGAAAUCCCAGGGCUUAACCUUGGAACUGCACUUUUAACUACCGAGCUAGAGUACGUCAGAGGGGGGUAGAAUUCCACGUGUAGCAGUGAAAUGCGUAGAGAUGUGGAGGAAUACCGAUGGCGAAGGCAGCCCCCUGGGAUGAUACUGACGCUCAUGCACGAAAGCGUGGGGAGCAAACAGGAUUAGAUACCCUGGUAGUCCACGCCCUAAACGAUGUCAACUAGCUGUUGGGGUUUAUUAACCUUAGUAGCGCAGCUAACGCGUGAGGUUGACCGCCUGGGGAGUACGGUCGCAAGAUUAAAAC
rnacentral:rRNA from 1 species